rnacentral:rRNA from 1 species
GGUUAAGCGACUAAGCGUACACGGUGGAUGCCCUGGCAGUCAGAGGCGAUGAAGGACGUGCUAAUCUGCGAUAAGCGUCGGUAAGGUGAUAUGAACCGUUAUAACCGGCGAUUUCCGAAUGGGGAAACCCAGUGUGAUUCGUCACACUAUCAUUAACUGAAUCCAUAGGUUAAUGAGGCGAACCGGGGGAACUGAAACAUCUAAGUACCCCGAGGAAAAGAAAUCAACCGAGAUUCCCCCAGUAGCGGCGAGCGAACGGGGAGGAGCCCAGAGCCUGAAUCAGUGUGUGUGUUAGUGGAAGCGUCUGGAAAGGCGCGCGAUACAGGGUGACAGCCCCGUACACAAAAAUGCACAUGCUGUGAGCUCGAUGAGUAGGGCGGGACACGUGGUAUCCUGUCUGAAUAUGGGGGGACCAUCCUCCAAGGCUAAAUACUCCUGACUGACCGAUAGUGAACCAGUACCGUGAGGGAAAGGCGAAAAGAACCCCGGCGAGGGGAGUGAAAAAGAACCUGAAACCGUGUACGUACAAGCAGUGGGAGCCUCUUAAUGGGGUGACUGCGUACCUUUUGUAUAAUGGGUCAGCGACUUAUAUUCUGUAGCAAGGUUAACCGAAUAGGGGAGCCGAAGGGAAACCGAGUCUUAACUGGGCGUUAAGUUGCAGGGUAUAGACCCGAAACCCGGUGAUCUAGCCAUGGGCAGGUUGAAGGUUGGGUAACACUAACUGGAGGACCGAACCGACUAAUGUUGAAAAAUUAGCGGAUGACUUGUGGCUGGGGGUGAAAGGCCAAUCAAACCGGGAGAUAGCUGGUUCUCCCCGAAAGCUAUUUAGGUAGCGCCUCGUGAAUUCAUCUCCGGGGGUAGAGCACUGUUUCGGCAAGGGGGUCAUCCCGACUUACCAACCCGAUGCAAACUGCGAAUACCGGAGAAUGUUAUCACGGGAGACACACGGCGGGUGCUAACGUCCGUCGUGAAGAGGGAAACAACCCAGACCGCCAGCUAAGGUCCCAAAGUCAUGGUUAAGUGGGAAACGAUGUGGGAAGGCCCAGACAGCCAGGAUGUUGGCUUAGAAGCAGCCAUCAUUUAAAGAAAGCGUAAUAGCUCACUGGUCGAGUCGGCCUGCGCGGAAGAUGUAACGGGGCUAAACCAUGCACCGAAGCUGCGGCAGCGACACUUAUGUGUUGUUGGGUAGGGGAGCGUUCUGUAAGCCUGCGAAGGUGUACUGUGAGGUAUGCUGGAGGUAUCAGAAGUGCGAAUGCUGACAUAAGUAACGAUAAAGCGGGUGAAAAGCCCGCUCGCCGGAAGACCAAGGGUUCCUGUCCAACGUUAAUCGGGGCAGGGUGAGUCGACCCCUAAGGCGAGGCCGAAAGGCGUAGUCGAUGGGAAACAGGUUAAUAUUCCUGUACUUGGUGUUACUGCGAAGGGGGGACGGAGAAGGCUAUGUUGGCCGGGCGACGGUUGUCCCGGUUUAAGCGUGUAGGCUGGUUUUCCAGGCAAAUCCGGAAAAUCAAGGCUGAGGCGUGAUGACGAGGCACUACGGUGCUGAAGCAACAAAUGCCCUGCUUCCAGGAAAAGCCUCUAAGCAUCAGGUAACAUCAAAUCGUACCCCAAACCGACACAGGUGGUCAGGUAGAGAAUACCAAGGCGCUUGAGAUAACUCGGGUGAAGGAACUAGGCAAAAUGGUGCCGUAACUUCGGGAGAAGGCACGCUGAUAUGUAGGUGAAGUCCCUUGCGGAUGGAGCUGAAAUCAGUCGAAGAUACCAGCUGGCUGCAACUGUUUAUUAAAAACACAGCACUGUGCAAACACGAAAGUGGACGUAUACGGUGUGACGCCUGCCCGGUGCCGGAAGGUUAAUUGAUGGGGUUAGCG